AUUGAACGCUGGCGGCAGGCCUAACACAUGCAAGUCGAGCGAGCGGCGGACGGGGGAGCAAUGUCUGGGAAACUGCCUGAUGGAGGGGGCUAACAACUGGAAACGGUAGCUAAUACCGCAUACCAUCGGAUGUGCCCAGAUGGGAUUAGCUAGUAGGUGGGGUAAUGGCUCACCUAGGCGACGAUCCCUAGCUGGUCUGAGAGGAUGACCAGCCACACUGGAACUGAGACACGGUCCAGACUCCUACGGGAGGCAGCAGUGGGGAAUAUUGCACAAUGGGCGCAAGCCUGAUGCAGCCAUGCCGCGUGUGUGAAGAAGGCCUUCGGGUUGUAAAGCACUUUCAUCGGGGAGGCGUUACUCGCAGAAGAAGCCCCGGCUAACUCCGUGCCAGCAGCCGCGGUAAUUC
rnacentral:rRNA from 1 species